rnacentral:rRNA from 1 species
UACGAAGGGGGCUAGCGUUGCUCGGAAUCACUGGGCGUAAAGCGCACGUAGGCGGACUCUUAAGUCGGUGGUGAAAUCCUGGAGCUCAACUCCAGAACUGCCUUCGAUACUGGGAGUCUCGAGUUCGGGAGAGGUGAGUGGAACUGCGAGUGUAGAGGUGAAAUUCGUAGAUAUCAGGAAGAACACCAAUUGCGAAGGCAGCUCGCUGGGACGUUACUGACGCUGAGACGCGAAAGCGUGGGGAGCAAACAGG